UGGUUUUAGAGGAAUUCAAGCUUUGACUGACUGAUCUAGCGUCUAUAUUUGUCCUGUCGUGUUGUUUGUGGUAGACAGCUCUUUUAUCCUUGAAGUCCAGGCUGACAGACAAAGUCCUCGUUAAGGUUAUGAAAAAAAGGCAAGAAGAACAUUGUUUGGCUUUAUCAUCGUGUAGUUUUGUGUUUGUUGUUUCCAACAGCUGACAGACUGAUGUAGCCAAGGAUGAUUUCAAACAUACAAGUGAGAACUAUCUGCAGAAUGAAGAAGGAAGAAUUAAGUAUUGUAAAUCCACGACAGCCCGGAACCAGCACAGACAUGGCACUACAACAGCACUGGCAUAAGCACACAAACAUGGCAACGCUGGCACAAGCAUGAUGGAUAGCUCACACAUAUAUAAUUGAGAAUGUUUAAUAAUAUAAAUGUAUUUUGUUAAAAAUGGCAUAAAUAACUGGAGUAAAAAUGAGGAUUUUUUUUCAGAACACCGAUACAUACUUUUGUUUAGACACAGCAAGUAUUUCUAGAUCGGUUAUUUUUGCAGGAUAAGUAAUAGGUGAAUCUCAUUACUCGGUUUAAAUAAAUUCAAAUCUGCCAUACAAGUAAUGCCGCUUUCCUGUAGCUUAACACAAGACAAAGAUGACAUGUCUUAUAAGAUCGUUCUGUAUGCAGAUAAAAUCGCUUGAAAAUAAUUCGAUAUAUAUAUAAAUUAAAUUCCAUGCAUUCUAAUACCUUUUUCCCAAAAUGUUACAUACUUUUCCAACGCAACGUCGCCACGCAACUUCGCAUGUUAUGAGCAACGUCACGCUUAAUUGUCAUUGCCUCAAAAUGAAUAUGUUGAAAAAAGUUUUUUUAAUUUUUUUAAUGCUAAGGGUCUCCUUUUAUUAAAGUGACGUAUUUAUUGAAGCAUAUUUUCGGUUUAUGUAGUUCAUAUUUUUAGAGUUAAAUUGUAGUUUCAUGCCAAUGAACGCCAUAUUUUGAUUUCUCGUUGUUGAAACAGUAAGAUACAAUCAGGAUACAAUGUAUUGGUAUGUUUUGAUAAUCCUCUGCAAGUAUUAAAUAUAAUUUCAUGCUAUCUAACUAAAACUGUACAGAUAAAAUCAAAUUUCAUUUGAUUAAACUUGUAUUCUACUGUCCUUGGUCGGAGUUGUCUAAAUCUAGCUUUUUAAAGUCAUUUUAGCUCCAUUUCUUUUACACAGCAUUUUACACUGACUGGCAUAACUCAUAACUGAAACCUAACUCGAGCACUAACAUUAACGCUUGAGACUGAAAUGACUUUUUAAAGCAAGUUUGUCUUUUAUAAUUGCAAUGUUUGAAAUUUAAGACUGGUAUAUGAUGAGGGGUAAAAAGAUGCGUUGAUUAAAUGUUAAGAAAAAUAUGUGCUUGUAGCCCUAAAUUUAAAUGGAUUGCUAGAAUAUAAUUGUAAAUUAUGACCUGAUAAGGUCAUUGCUUCAAACACAAAGAAAUCGAGAAAUCCAAAUAUGAUGUCCAUUGGUAAGGAACUGCACCUGAACACGAAAGGAUAUAAAUUAGAAAGAAGUAGAUAAUUUUAUUGAAAGACAGAGCUGUAUAAAUGCUUGCAAAAACAAUAAAAUACACACUAAAGAGAAACAUAUGUAUCUCGUAACUUAUAAACAUAGGCAUUGUGACGUCAUUGAGUUGCGUGGUUGAAUGAGAUAAAUUCAUACAAACUCGACAAGAGAUCAAACAUUAGCUGUGAAUGAACUUUUUAUACGCCGGUCUCUGAAAGAGCGGGGCGUAUUAUGUAAACACCCAUGGCUGUCGGGCGGGCUUUGUCCAAAGUAAUGUCCGCUCUCUAAGUCAAUCAGUUUUCAUUUGAUCUUCAACAAAUUUCGUGACAAUGUUUAUUGGCAUAAUAUAUCGGCCAAGUUCGAUAACCAGCAAAAUCACCAAGGCAGUCUUGAGUUAUGGCCCUUGAAUUACUUGAAAAUCUGCAAAUUUAGCCUUGUCCGCCCUCUAAGUUAAACAGUUUUCAUUCGAUCUUCACCAAACUUGCUGACAAUAUUUGUGGGCAUGAUAUCUUGGCCAAGUUUGAUAAUCAGCAAAAUCACCCAGACACUCUUGGAUUAUGGCCCUUGAAUUACUUGAAAAAUUGGGAAUUUAGCCUUGUCCGCUCUCUUAGUCCAACACUUUUCAUCUGAUCUUCCAGAAACUUGCAGAUAAUGUUUAUCGGUAUAAUAUUUCGGUCAAGAUCGAUGACCAGCCAUAUCGCCCCAGGCCCUUGAAUUAGGCCAAAUUCGAUGACGGGCGUAUUUUGUGUCAGUCUGCCACUGUUGUUUAACAACGUUUGAUUAAAACAGUUAUUAGACAGACAAUUGUAAAAGAACAUGUAAUACUGAAUUAUCGUUCACUCGGGAAGAACAGAUUUAGUUCACUCUAUGAAAGAUAGUCCGAUCUUAUACUGAAACAUUUUAUAUAUUUUAUAUACGUUUUUACAGUAGUAGUAGGUAACCAGUACCACUAUUUUAUUUUUUUUUUAAAUACGUUUAAAAAUAAGCAGAUACAGACAAGGACAAAAACACUAAAACCAUGUCUAUCAUACAUAUUUAUUGAUAAUACGCAGUUUGCACUUUGUAUGGCAGUAUUUUUUCUACCGGCUAGUUCUCAAUGGCAGUCAGAGAUUUGAACCAAAGAAUACCAUGUUUUUCUUUAUUUUUUACUGUUGAAUUCAGAGAUUUUUAUAGAUCACAUUCAAUUUGAAAAUAUUUCAUAUAUCAAGAACAUUAACACUUUAAGUUGCGUCAUAAAGGGACCAUGGUUAAAUAAGACUAUUUUUGCUAUUUAUUGCGGCUUGAAAAUUGAAUAAAAGGCAGUACAGUUUUGUUGAUUAUUUUUCUUUAAAGAUGAAAAAUCAUAAAAUAUAUAUAUUUUCACCCAAAGUUACCUCUCUUCCCCUCCUUGAUGCCAUUUUCACUAUGCAGUGAAGGUCAGCCUAAGCGACUCGAUUUUUUCCUUCCAAAGUUACCUUCUCUUCCAUCGACGCCAUUUGCAAAAGAAAGGGGAGGUCAGCCAAAUCGACUCGUUUCUUUUUCCAUCCAAAGCUACCUCCCCUCCUUGACGUCAUUGAAAAUGCAGGGCAGGUCACCUUUACCAACUCGGUUUCUUUUUCCAUCCAAAACUUACCUCUUCUCCUAGACGCCAUUUCCAAAAAAAAUGGGAGGUCACCCUAAUCGACCUUUUUCCUGUCCAAAGUUACCUCCCCUUUCCAUCUUGACGCCAUUUGAAAAAUUCAUGAGAUGUCCUAAACCCACCAUUUUUGCAUCUAUAGUUACUUCCCUUUCUUAUCUCGAUGCCAUUUGUACUUUUUCCAUCAUGAUAUAUACCUGCCGUUCCCAUCUUAAAGCCACUUAAAGUUCCCUUCAAGGUUACCACCUCUUGCCAUCUAAACGCCAUUUGCAAACUGCAGGGGAAGUCACACCUUUUUAUUUACUCACAGGUUACCUCCACUAGCUAUCUUGGCGCCAUUUGUAAAGUGCAGGGGAUGUCACUAACCUUUAUUUCCUUCAUAAGUUACCUCUACCUAUCUUGACGCCACUUGCAAAAUUCUUCAUUCAAAGGUUACCUACCAUUGCCAUUUGACGCCAUUUGUAAAUUCCAGGGGAGGUCACACAGACACUUUUUACAACCAAGGUCACCUCCUCUGGCCACCUCGACGCCAUUUGCAAUUUCCAGGGGAGAUCCUUUUAACCGGUCCUUUUCUCUUCCCCCUUCCGAGGUUACCUCACUUUGCCGUCUUGAAGCCAUUUGCAAUUUCCAGGCGAUGUCACACUAACCGGCCCUCUUUUUUUUGUUUUUCCUCCUUCCGAGGUUACCUCCCGUUGCCGUCUUGACGCCAUUCGCAAUUUCCAGGGGAGGUCACUCUAGGCGGCCCCUUUUUUCUCCUUCCGAGGUUAUCUCCCCUUGCCGUCUUGACGCCAUUUGCAUUUUCUAGGGGAGGUCACUCUAACCGGCCCUCUUUUUUUCUCCUCCCGAGGUUACCUCUCCUUGCCAUCUUGACGCCAUUUGCAGUUUCCAGGGGAAGUUAAUCUAACCGGCCCCCUUUUUCUCCUUCCGAAGUUUUGACGCCAUUUGCAAUUUCCACGGGAGGUCACUAAAUGGCCCCCUCCUUUUUUGUUUCUUUCUCCUUCCGAUGUUACCUCCCUUUGCCGUCUUGACGCCAUUUGCAAUUUUCA